rnacentral:rRNA from 1 species
AUUGAACGCUGGCGGCAGGCUUAACACAUGCAAGUCGAGCGAGCGGCGGACGGGUGAGUAAUGUCUGGGAAACUGCCUGAUGGAGGGGGAUAACUACUGGAAACGGUAGCUAAUACCGCAUACCCUCAGAUGUGCCCAGAUGGGAUUAGCUAGUAGGUGGGGUAAUGGCUCACCUAGGCUACGCUCCCGAGCUGGGUUGAGAGGAUGCCCGGCGACACUGAAACUGAGACACGGUCCAGACGCCUACGGGAGGCAGCAGUGGGGAAUAUUACAAAAUGGGCGCAAGCCUGAUGCAGCCAUGCCGCGUGUAUGAAGAAGGGCUUCGGGUUGUAAAGUACUUUCAGCGGGGAGGCGUUACCCGCAGAAGAAGCACCGGCUAACUCCGUGCCAGCAGCCGCGGUAAUAC